rnacentral:rRNA from 1 species
UACGUAGGCAGCGAGCGUUGUUCGGAGUUACUGGGCGUAAAGGGUGUGUAGGCGGCCUAUUAAGUUUGGUGUGAAAUCUCCCGGCUCAACCGGGAGGGUGCGCCGAAUACUGAGUGACUAGAGUGCGGGAGAGGAGAGUGGAAUUCCUGGUGUAGCGGUGAAAUGCGUAGAUAUCAGGAGGAACACCGGUGGUGUAGACGGCUCUCUGGACCGUAACUGACGCUGAGACACGAAAGCGUGGGUAGCAAACAGG